UAAGGAAUAUUGCGCAAUGGGCGAAAGCCUGACGCAGCGACGCCGCGUGGGGGAUGAAGGUCUUCGGAUUGUAAACCCCUUUCGGGAGGGAAGAUGGAGUGGGGUAACCCAUUCGGACGGUACCUCCAGAAGCAGCCACGGCUAACUCUGUGCCAGCAGCCGCGGUAAUACAGAGGUGGCAAGCGUUGUUCGGAAUUACUGGGCGUAAAGGGCGCGUAGGCGGCCCUCUAAGUCAGACGUGAAAUCCCCCGGCUUAACCUGGGAACUGCGUCUGAUACUGGAGGGCUUGAGUAUGGGAGAGGGAUGUAGAAUUCCAGGUGUAGCGGUGAAAUGCGUAGAUAUCUGGAGGAAUACCGGUGGCGAAGGCGACAUCCUGGACCAAUUCUGACGCUGAGGAGCGAAAGCCAGGGGAGCAAACGGGAUUAGAUACCCAAGUAGUCCCUGAGCGGGCUGGCAAGGCGCAU
rnacentral:rRNA from 1 species